rnacentral:rRNA from 1 species
GUAGUCUGCAACCCGACUACAUGAAGCUGGAAUCGCUAGUAAUCGCGGAUCAGAAUGCCGCGGUGAAUACGUUCCCGGGUCUUGUACACACCGCCCGUCACACCAUGGGAGUCGGAAAUGCCCGAAGUCUGUGACCUAACCGCAAGGGAGGAGCAGCCGAAGGCAGGUCGGAUGACUGGGGUGAAGUCGUAACAAGGUAAC